rnacentral:tRNA from 1 species
CGCGGGCCUCGGCCAGCUGGGCCAGGGCGUUGUUGGCGCCUGCCACGUAGGUGGCGUGGUGCUUGCUGUGGUGCAGCUCCAUGAUCCGCGC